GGUUAGGAUUUCAGAGGUGGAGCGAAACAAGGUGGGGUGAGAGCCGAUAGGUCUGCCACACGCGCUGGAAAAUGCAGCUGGGAAGGACGGGACGGGAAGAGAAGUUUGCAGCUUGAAGCGGCCUCCGGUGUAUCCUUUCCAAGCCGUGUUUCGAGCCUUGUAAUAAUGUAUUCUUUUCUGGCCCUCCAGGUCUUGUAACGUACAUCUUGUUAGUUGAAGAAUGAGA
rnacentral:lncRNA from 1 species